rnacentral:lncRNA from 1 species
GCUGGUGUAUUUAAAGUGUAUGAGGAGGAACCUGAGGAAAUUGCUCCAGAAGAGCCUCCAGUUGAAGUCCCAGAAGAGCCUGAGCCGGUUGAAGUCCCAGAAGAGCCUGAGCCUGCAGCACCUCCAAAAGUGAUUGUUCCACCUAAGAAGCCAGUUCCUGAAAAGAAAGCUGUCAUUGCCAAGAAACCAGAACCACCACCCGUGAAAGGUAUUUCUCACCGCCAGAAAAAUGUUGCUAAAGUGUUAUUUUCCACUGCUCUACUUAAUGAUUUCCAUCCUUUAUUGACGCUGUGA